UACAGAGGUCUCAAGCGUUGUUCGGAUUCAUUGGGCGUAACGGGUGCGUAGGCGGCGCGGUAAGUCGGGUGUGAAAUCUCGGGGCUUAACUCCGAAACUGCAUUCGAUACUGCCGUGCUUGAGGACUGGAGAGGAGACUGGAAUUUACGGUGUAGCGGUGAAAUGCGUAGAUAUCGUAAGGAAGACCAGUGGCGAAGGCGGGUCUCUGGACAGUUCCUGACGCUGAGGCACGAAGGCCAGGGGAGCAAACGGG
rnacentral:rRNA from 1 species